UUUCGCCCAAAUAAAAACCUCUCUUCCAACCCAUCUCCUUCCUCCCGUAGAACUAAUGUCCGGCAACGUACUCAGAUUCGGCGACCGCAACGAUCUGGCAGCAUCCUCGUCACCGGCUUCAUUCCCAUCUCCGACAGUCAAUAUUCCUAAGCUUUCGGGCAACUCUGCACAUUAAUAUCGAAGCAGUAGUGAACGGAAAAACAAGUCAAAAAUUCUCAUCUCUGGCUAGAAUAUUACCGUUAAAUUGAUUUGUCUUGUAAGAAAUUAAGUGUUUUUUUUUUUU
rnacentral:lncRNA from 1 species